rnacentral:rRNA from 1 species
UACGUAGGGCGCAAGCGUUGUCCGGAAUUAUUGGGCGUAAAGAGCUCGUAGGCGGUCUGUCGCGUCUGCCGUGAAAACCCGAGGCUUAACCUCGUGGCUUGCGGUGGAUACGGGCAGACUAGAGGUAGGUAGGGGAGAAUGGAAUUCCCGGUGUAGCGGUGAAAAUGCGCAGAUAUCAGGAAGAACACCCGUGGCGAAGGCGGUUCUCUGGGCCGAUACUGACGCUGAGGCACGAAAGCGUGGGGAGCAAACAGG